CUACGGGGGGCACCAGUGGGGAAUAUUGCACAAUGGGCGCAAGCCUGAUGCAGCCAUGCCGCGUGUAUGAAGAAGGCCUUCGGGUUGUAAAGUACUUUCAGCGGGGAGGAAGGGAGUAAAGUUAAUACCUUUGCUCAUUGACGUUACCCGCAGAAGAAGCACCGGCUAACUCCGUGCCAGCAGCCGCGGUAAUACGGAGGGUGCAAGCGUUAAUCGGAAUUACUGGGCGUAAAGCGCACGCAGGCGGUUUGUUAAGUCAGAUGUGAAAUCCCCGGGCUCAACCUGGGAACUGCAUCUGAUACUGGCAAGCUUGAGUCUCGGAGAGGGGGGGUAGAAUUCCAGGUGUAGCGGUGAAAUGCGUAGAGAUCUGGAGGAAUACCGGUGGCGAAGGCGGCCCCCUGGACGAAGACUGACGCUCAGGUGCGAAAGCGUGGGGAGCAAACAGGAUUAGAUACCCUAGUAGUC
rnacentral:rRNA from 1 species